rnacentral:rRNA from 1 species
UACAGAGGUCUCGAGCGUUGUUCGGAUUCAUUGGGCGUAAAGGGUGCGUAGGUGGCGCUGUAAGUCGGGUGUGAAAUCCUGAGGCUUAACCUCGGAACUGCAUUCGAUACUGCGGCGCUUGAGGACUGGAGAGGAGACUGGAAUUCAUGGUGUAGCAGUGAAAAUGCGUAGAGAUCAUGAGGAAGACCAGUGGCGAAGGCGGGUCUCUGGACAGUUCCUGACACUGAGGCACGAAGGCCAGGGGGAGCAAAACGGG